CUGUUCUGUUCAUUACCUCUGUGGCACCUGGCUUUGGCACUGUCGGAAAACAGGAUACUGGGCUAGAUGGACCUUUGGUCUGACCCAGUAUGACUGCUCUUUUGUUCUUAUGCUUUUCAGCAUAGAGUUCCCCAUCCUAAACAGCAGGAAUUGGACUACAUAAUAAGAAUUUAAUGUCAGCUUCUGGAAGAUUGAUUAGGAUAGACUGAGUACAAGAUGUCAGUUACAGUAACCAUCACAGUACUCUAAAAAAGGACAGGUCUUUCUAACCUGUUGCAGCAGAAGACAUCAGAAGAACUCUUAAGACUGUGUAUUUAUCAGACUUCAGCUUCUAAUUUCUCUGAGUACAAUGCCAAGAUCCACUCCUCAUAUGUCUCUUUUC